UUAACUAUUUUAUAGUACUCAGACGACACUAACAUUCAGGGUUUAUGGUCCUCUGGCGGGCACACCCAGCCGGAGCUGGUAUAGAGCCGGAGCCCUAUGGCCCGCCAAAGCAACUACAAUAUAAUAUACAAGGGUGGGAGGACUACCCGUGAGGGCAUGAACUCUGUAAUGAUCCUUCCGCAGGUUCACCUACGGAAA
rnacentral:misc_RNA from 1 species